rnacentral:lncRNA from 1 species
GGUAUUUAACAUAUCUCAGAUGUAAACACAUAAAUAACUACGAUGUUUAUAUAUGAAGUGUCUGCAGUGUUUAUGAAGGAGAAUGGCACAACUGAACCAGUUUGGAGAGAUUAUAUAAAGAAAAAUGCAUUAAGGAAACACUAAUGGAGAUCAUUGUGCAACCCUCUUGAAGUUAGGUGAAGAAGGUCAAGAACAAGGUGUCAGCCAACUUGACAUUUCGGAAAUGGCUGCAUAUCAGAGUUCUCCACUGUUCUCCACACUUACUCUCUCCCUUAUCUCCGAGCUGGUAGCAGAGGAGCCAGCAGAAGACAGCAAGCCCUUGGUAUAGAUAGAGAAGCCAUGGAUGAAAAGAAGCAGGCCUUAAAGACAGAGCAAAGUAACAUAGCAUUCCUCUCUACUAUCAUCCUGUACUGGAUAGGCCCCCACAAAUAAUCCUGUAUUUUGGUAAACCGAUGCUUGAGGAAGACAUGCUAGAGCAAAAACUACAACUCUGGUCCUCUUGGAUAUUUUAGAUAAGGACUUUACCCACAUAAAGAAGGUGUUGCCCUGGGGACUGGCUGAGAGAAAUUACAGACUGUUACUCACUUCAAAAGAAACGGACUGCUACAGUGGUACUUACGUCACCAGAAAGAAACACUUCCACAAAGAAUUUGAUUUGAUGGCAUCAUGUGGACAUAGAACUCUCAUAGUAAUGACCCAACCUGUGUUUCCAGUCAUCCUGAUGAACUCUCAACAAAAUCAGAUUGUUAUACUGUUGUUCUCACUUUACACCGAUAUUUUCUCUUGCUCCUAAAAAAAGUAUCUGGUAUUAAAUAGAAUUCUGUAUCUUAAAAAACUUGCCAUUGAGAAAAAUGAGAAGUAACUGUACAUUUUAAUACUGAAGGUUUUAAUAAAAAAAGCAGUGUGAA